GGACUGUUAUAAAGUGUUAAAUGUAUAUAUUUUAUUUAUAUCAUGUCAUCAUGAUGGAAUAAGAAACUCCAAUUAAGAGUUCUCAUUUAUAUAUAUGAUAGUCAUUUAUAGAUCUCAUAUUAAAAUAAAAAUAGUUUGAGAUGUGCAGUUGGUAUCCAAACCUGCAUAUAAGGGUAACCAUUUUAAUUUUUGUUAGUAACCAAAUAAUUAAAAACUUAU
rnacentral:lncRNA from 1 species